CCUACGGGAGGCAGCAGUGAGGAAUAUUGGUCAAUGGGCGGGAGCCUGAACCAGCCAAGCCGCGUGAGGGAAGAAGGUACAGCGUAUCGUACACCUCUUUUGUCAGGGAACAAAGACUGGGACGCGUCCCCGGAUGAGUGUACCUGAAGAAAAAGCAUCGGCUAACUCCGUGCCAGCAGCCGCGGUAAUACGGGGGAUGCGAGCGUUAUCCGGAUUUAUUGGGUUUAAAGGGUGCGCAGGCGGUCUGUUAAGUCAGCGGUCAAAGCCCGGGGCUCAACCCCGGCCCGCCGUUGAAACUGGCAGUCUCGAGUUGGAGAGAAGUAUGCGGAAUGCGCGGUGUAGCGGUGAAAUGCAUAGAUAUCGCGCAGAACUCCGAUUGCGAAGGCAGCAUGCCGGCUCCACACUGACGCUGAGGCACGAAAGCGUGGGUAUCGAACAGGAUUAGAUACCCCAGUAGUC
rnacentral:rRNA from 1 species